rnacentral:tRNA from 1 species
UCCCUGGUGGCUUAGUGGUUAAGGAUCUGGCAUUGUCAUUGCUAUAGCAUAGGUUCAGUUCCUGGCCAAGGAA